GUUGCAUUUCCUCUGUCACUUAGCUAAAUUAGUUCUUGUCUCAACAAGAGAUGUGGUGAGAGAAAAACAUGCAGUGUGCCUUGGCUGCAGCAGCUGGACCCACCACAACAACUUGAAAAUGUCAACGGUGCAGCAGGAAAGGGAUCUCAUGCAGCGGAGACGGAGGGCCCUAAACCCUAGGCUGGUUUCACUACAUGGGGGAAAUUCCCAGACAGCUUCAGCUGACAGAGCUGUGACGACACGCCCACCAAGCCCGGAUGAAAAGUGAGGCCGAGCAACAGAAUGCUGACCUUGAUAACUCUGCAUUAACAGUGCAGGGCAGUGACGGACCAACGCAGAGCAGAGAAAAGGGCGUGCCAGAGACAGAAGGAGCAACUGAGGUCAAAAGGCACCUCAGAACAGACAAACACAGAAGAAGAUCUAGGUUUCACCUGCGGCGAGCAUGGACACUGGAGAAAGGACUGCACCAACUGGGGUCAGAACCAGGACGGACUGAACUUUGAACAGCAGCAGCAAUGGACGCAAACAGACUGAAGAGGAGGGCAGGACCCCUAUCAGCAAUAUCUGGAGCAGGAGGACAAGAGAGACCAGAGGGGGAGACGGUAGCUUCCCAAGAGAGGUGGAGCUGCAGACUGAACCCUUUAGAUGCUAAUUUAGAGUUACUGAUGUUUGCUUUAAGAAAACUGUGUUUAAUUGGCUGUGUUUUGAUGAGAGUAUCAUCUCAUAUUGUCGGGAAUGCCAAAUGCAAGAGUGGAGAAAACUUUUGAUAUCACUCAUGACUGGAAUAUGUUACUAUCAACCAUUGCAGGCCACUGUAAAAGUCAAUUAAGUUUUAUAGAGGAAAAUGGCCAAAACUUUAACAAUAUUUAUGAAUAACAUAGGGGAAUGGUGGAUUUGUCAUGUUUAAAAUAGUUAUGUAAUAACAAACACUGGGCCACGUGAUUUAGGUUCUCCCUUAAAGUAGACAAUUAUUAAAAGUAGAAUACAACCGACAGGGGCAUGUGCUAGGAUGUGAUACUGCAAAGAAGAAGAGAAAAGUAAAGAAAGAAAAAUCCAUUGUUUAGUUUUCAUAAAUUCAAAUGAAAAUGUACCAUUACACUCAGAGGAUCAACAUGAAAUCAAAUAUAUGCAAAUUCUGUAUGAAGUACAUGACUGAUAACUGUUCUGUCCUGAGCUUUUGUUUCCUAUAGCACCCACUUGAGCACACCACCAGUUUUCACGCCAAAUUUUCAAGUGAGGAAUAUCAGCAAUUAAAUCUCCUUUAAUUGCUGAUGUAAAUGGAGAGUCCAUGAAAUUAGCCAAGUAACUCCUAAAUGUGUGUAGAUUAAAGAAAAUUAUUUUACCUGGAUAUGAUUGUCUCUGAUAAGCCUAAGGUACAAAACAUGCUGGCGAAGUUUUUCUAGCUCCUCCAGAAUUUAAAAUGUACAAAAAAACGGAGCGACAUUUCUGGGUCGUGACCGGAAAUACACAGAAGUGAGGGCGGACUUGAACAAAGGCUAGAAGGCUGUCCACUGUUUAGUUGUAUACUCCUUGUUUGUUCAAUAAAGUUUCUAUGGGGGCUGUCCACAGCCACUCACUUCCUGACUACCUGUCCGCCAAAGCAUCCUACCCACGUGACAUAGGUAGGAUCCUUCAGAGCAUCCUUCCCCUGAAUUCGGACACAGCAAAUAACUCCAGCGAGCAGCACUUGAUGGAAAGGGUUAGGGUUAGAAAUGUAUGACUGAAUUGUAUUUUUUAAAUUGAAUGAAAAUCUUAAAAGUUUGAAGUUAAACACUUGGGGUGUUGUUACUGCGUGUUUCAUAAAGAGAAGGAGUGCUGCUAACUGAAACUAUGUUGCAGGCAGUUUCCAGUUUCUUGUCUGAAAACGUCCUUGGAAGACUAAAAAGGGGAAACAUCACCAUGUCAAUGAUCAUACAAAGAAGCACCAAUGCAGCGCCUGGGAAGCAGUGAUCUAAUCCUUCCAUGGAUCCGAACCCCCGUCCUUCCGAUCAUGGGGAAGCAAGGCUACCUACUGAACUGGCCCAGUUGUUCAAAGGGGCACAAUUGUUGUUUCUCAUUUUGUUUUUGUACUCAGGAGGAAUGCUGCUGUGUUCAGACACCAAAUAAAGAGUUUUGCACA